ACGAAGGGGGCUAGCGUUGUUCGGAAUUAUUGGGCGUAAAGAGCUCGUAGGCGGUUGGUCACGUCUGCUGUGAAAGCCCGGGGCUCAACUCCGGGUCUGCAGUGGGUACGGGCUAACUAGAGCAUGGUAGGGGAGAUUGGAAUUCCUGGUGUAGCGGUGGAAUGCGCAGAUAUCAGGAGGAACACCGAUGGCGAAGGCAGAUCUCUGGGCCAUUACUGACGCUGAGGAGCGAAAGCGUGGGUAGCGAACAGGA
rnacentral:rRNA from 1 species